GACGAACGCUGGCGGCGUGCCUAAUACAUGCAAGUCGAACGAGUGGCGGACGGGUGAGUAACACGUGGGAAACCUACCCUUCAGCGGGGGAUAACAAUCGGAAACGAGGACUAAUACCGCAUACUGAAGGAUGGACCCGCGGUGCAUUAGCUAGAUGGUGGGGUAACGGCCCACCGUGGCUUUGAUGCAUAGCCGACCUGAGAGGGUGAUCGGCCCAAUGGGGACUGAGACACGGCCCAGACUCCUACGGGAGGCAGCAGUGGGGAAUCUUCCGCAAUGGACGCAAGUCUGACGGAGCAACGCCGCGUGUGUGAAGAAGGUCUUCGGAUCGUAAAGCACUGUUAUCAGAGAGGCGUUACCUGAUCAGAAAGCCACGGCUAACUACGUGCCAGCAGCCGCGGUAAUAC
rnacentral:rRNA from 1 species